GCUAGAGAUGAUGAGAAUGAGAUGAGAUUUUUUUCCAGUUUUUCAGGGGUAACAGCUGGUAGGAGGAGUGAAAGUGUUCACACGGAAAGCAGGAAGACAAUACCGGAAACUUUACAUGGAGUGCAGACUGUAACAGACACUUGUGGUACAUGAUUUACUCAGCUGCCUCAGCAAGAUGUUUGCAGCUGUGCUGAUUAUAACAGGGAUAUACACAGCAGUGGGUUUCAACAUUUACACAACACCAGUGAACAGCUUUACAAAUGAAGACCUACUCUUCGGUCAAACCCUUAUUCAAUCAACAGAUGGAGUUUUUGUUCCUUCUCCUAACUCUGGAGACAUUUUCAGAUGCACAGAAAAAAGCUGUUCUAGAAUGGAUGCUAUUGUUACAGGAGGAAUGAAAGGCCUGAGUCCAAUUGUAUCUGUAGCAUCCUGCUUGACUGAACAAAAGGAGCAGCUUCUGGUUUGUAACCAAGUUCGGACAAGGAACUCAUCAGCUGAGUAUUUCAACGGAAACUGUACAAACAUAUCUGACAAGCAAGAAAAGAGUAAAAUCUAUCCUGAUAAGUUGGUUUUACAGUUACUGGAACAAAAUAAUAACAACAACAACAACAUUCAUCAAAGUAAUCAAAAAUCUCCAAAUCAAGACCACUGGAGGAAGAGAAGAGCUGUACAGAAUGAUGACAAUGAAGAUGCAGGGACGGAGAUAUCUUUUGUGCUGGAUGGAUCUGGUAGCAUUAACGAGGAGGAUUUUGAAAGGGCCAAAGACUUUAUUUAUAAUGUGAUGAAAAAUGUUCGGACAACAUGUUUCACUUGCAAUUUUGCAAUAGUGCAGUAUGGGAGAAACAUAAGGACAGAACUCUCUCUCCAAGAAAAUGAAGAUGGUGUCAGAGCCUUGAAUAAGGUGAAGAACAUAACACAAAUUCAUGAAAUCACCAAGACUGCUUCAGCUCUCCACCAUGUUCUCACGGACGUUUUUGUUCCUGAAAAUGGAUCAAAAAAGAAUGCCAAAAAAAUUAUUAUUCUACUGUCUGAUGGGCAAAUGUUAGGAGAUACAAGAAACCUCACAGAUGUUUUGAACAUGCCACAGAUGGAGGGGAUUGUUCGCUAUGCUAUAGGGGUUGGGCCAGAGGUUCUGAAUAAACAAAAGGCAAUGGAAGAGAUGAUGGAGAUAGCUGGCAGCAAUGACAGAUUUUUCAACGCUUCUGAUUAUGCUGCCUUGGAAAAAAUUAUUUCUCCUUUGGAAGAAAAAAUAAUUGGGAUUGAAGGCAAGCGCAAGAAAACUGGGUCCGUGGCUCGCGGCCAUGCUGUGACGUCAGCGGAAGAACAACACUGCGGUUCACUGGCUGUUCUACUCAAUGGAAAUGGCGCAUGAAAACGCCGGUCUACUUGGCAGCUGGCAUCACAGUUCUGAACAAAAGAACAACCAGAUACUGGUACUUUAAGCAGUGAUCAUGAUGGCAUGAUUUUAUCUGAUUUUAAAUAAAUGAGAUUGAUAAUAAUGUGAAUGUUCACAACUAGUACAUACAAACUCUGCAGCUCCGCAAAAACAUCAGCAAGAACCUACAAUAUAAAUGGAAAUGCAAUACACUAAGCUCAAAUGACUUUUGGAAAGUAUAAUUUCUACAUUUUUUCUACAUAUUCUUGAAGUCGGUCAUCGGGGUACUUGCUACCGUUCCCUAACAACGCAUGGCAAAGGGUAAAGUGUAGUGUUGCUACGAGUACUUGCUAAAGCCUCCGGUGGAAGAUCCUCGAUGUGCUGAUAAGACAUACUGUACAGUUCUAUAUAACACACAAGUGUCACGAUAAUCACAAAACAGAUGCAAAUUGUUAAAAUACCUAAUUUUUAAGCAAUCAUGUAUUGAUCUCUUCCAAAUAGAAUCUCUGAUAGCCUAUCCUCUUUACCCUUUGCCUCUCGUUGCUAGGCGGCAGUUACAUGAAAGCCGCAAGCUUUCACAAGCAAAUGCAUGACUGAUAUCACGCCGACUUUAUGAUUACAUUUAUGAUUAUCAUGAAUCAUAUCUAUCACUCUAUGAUGUAUACUCUAUGAUGUGUACUCUAUGAGCACUCUGGAGCGAGUGGCUUCCAAGAUGGCCGCACAGACCGCAUGGUUACUAUUUUUAGCAUCAUGUCGGAGCACUCUAUAGCUCUACGUACCUUUAUCUUAUGUCGUUUCUCAACACAUAUUCUGACAGGAGGACCGUCUUUGGAGGAGUCGCCUUGUCCCAGGCGACUGCUGGAUCCGGCAUAGCUACUAGUAGACCCCCUCCGGAAUACUGUAGGCACUGCUGAUGGUAGUAACACACGUUUGUGCUGAACUGCACACCCAAGAGAUUCUUUUAAGCUGGGAAGGGUGUCAAAACAAUCCAAAUCGAAGUGUUCAGAGCACAGGACGGAUGUUGGUGAGGGCUCCCACUUGUCACGAGUGCGCCUGACUUGCUUCACCCACUUCGCAUGCAGCUCGGGAUCUCUGGGAAACUUGAAUAAACUUACCCGGCAACAAAAAGCCGGCAACACAACGCGAAGGCAUAAUAACUAUAUAUAUAUAUAUAUAUAUAUAUAUAUAUAUAUAUAUAUAUAUAAUGUAUAAUAAUAAGACUAAUAAUGACAAACUGAACACCUGUCGCAUCAACAACAAACUGGUAAGUUAGGAGGAAGAUUCUUUUGCAGACGUCAUAUAGCCCCUCCUCCUCAUUCAUCUCCUGGGUGCUGCAGCCCCGUCAAAUUUGCCCAAAUAGCCGCGUUUAUCAUAACUUGUAAAAUAGGCGCCUUCGUGAAUUAAUAUAUGGAUCAUCGGGAAUUACUUUUCAUGUUAUAAAACAUUGCCAAAGAUGUCCAAAACGUGUCAUCAGACCUUUAAACAUGAGCUAAUUUUAUCCCUAAUGAUCAAACACUUGUCCAGGGUGUACCCCGCCUUUCGCCCGUAGUCAGCUGGGAUAGGCUCCAGCUUGCCUGCGACCCUGUAGAAGGAUAAAGCGGCUAGAGAUAAUGAGAUGAGAUGAGAUCAAACCUGUGGCAACGGUGGCAAGGAAAAACUUCCUCAGCCAACAUUAGGAAGAAACCUCAACAGGAACCAGACUCUAAAGGGAACCCAUCCUCAUUUGGGUGGUAUAGGGUAGUGUGAUUAUAAAUCACUCACUUGUAGGGCUGAACGAUUUUAAGAAAAAAUUGAAUUGUGAUUUUUCUGGCAGAUAUUGCGAUUUUGAUUUCAACCACGAUUUUUUUUCUUUAAAUCAAGUUUCAGUGCAAAUUAAUUAAUACAAUGAAUUCCAUAAAGCUAAUGCAAGAAUGAAAACUGAGGUCAACAGAUUUCAAAUGUAGGCCUGUUUAUUAACAUUGAGUGCCUGAGGAACAAGUUAUAACUAGACCAGACAAUUCCCCCGGGGGAAAUUGUGAGAGGAUGCAGUGCGCGAAGCAAUUUGGUCACUCAUGCAAGCUAGCUGUGAAUGUGUGACUUGCUAUGAGGCUACAAAAUUGAUAUGUUAAACAUCAAGUUAUUACUGAAAAACUAUUGAUUAAAAAAACAGACACUGAGAAAUGGUCCUAUAAACAACUUUACCAAUAUAAAAGCUUACCAGGACUAUCAAAUAUGUGAUGUGAACUUUCCCAGUCGCAGGUUCCUGGUCAGGACAGCGUGGCGCAGCAGCAGGAGAAGGAGUACUGUACUGUGUGAAUGUGUGACUUACUAUGAGGCUACGAUGCUAACAGCUAGCUAAAGGCCCGGUCCCACUGGCUGAUGGACACAAAACGUAUGCAAAAAGGACACAGCGGACGCGCAAAAUUUCGGGGGUGGCUCUAUCCGUUUUCAUCCGCUCCAGAAAUGGACAAAAUUGGCGAAAAUUUGCGAAAACAGAACGGAAAAGAACGGACGUGGGUAGUAUAUAGCGGGGAUGUUAAAUGCAUGUUCAUAGGAAGCUUAGCGGAUGAAAGCGGAUGGAAGUGGAUGACAGCUCCGAAGGGGUUACCGGUGGUAACUGAGAAGCGGACGCAUAGCAGAAAGAGCGGAUGCAUAGCAGAUGAAAGGGAUGCAUCACGUACGCCUAACGGAAACAAAGGGGAUGUUGCGCGGAUGUAUAUCGGAUGCAGACCGUUCACUGUGCAUGCAGGGGGUAUGAAUUGCGUCUGCUCCGCGGAUAUAAAGGGAUGCAGCACGCCGUCAGCAUAAAGUGGAAAGACGUGCUGGCGGCUACAUCGAUACAUCUCUACUACUAGAUGAUUUUCUCCCCCUUUUUAUACAAAAUAUCGAUUGUCCGCUAGGUGUCCUUCUACAUACUCUAGACAUACUCCAGACAUCCUCAAUAUACGAGAUACAUCCCAGAUAUAAACGCUUUGUCCGUUUUGAAUACUUUAUAUACGAGAUGCAUACGCUUACAUCCGUUCUAUUUCCGUGCUACUAACGAUGAAUAGACAUUUCAUGUACCUUAUCUUUCCUCCCUCUUUCCGUUUUCAGCUGCAGCGGAUGUGAGUUGCGAGGAUGCCCAGAGGAUGCAGAGAGGAUACAGCAGACGUUUAACGGAUGAUGACGGACAUAGAAUGUUUGUUGCUCGUAUAUGUCGCGGAUUUACAUCGUACACGGCGGAAAGUUCAUCCGUUCUAAAAGUUUUGUGCAGCUCAAAACUUUUUGCGCGGAUGAAAUCACAGUGGACGGAUGCUCGAUGGAUAGAGCGUAUGAAGCACGUAUGCAAUGAGUACACAACGGAUGCAUAGCGUUUUCCAACGGAUGGCAAAGAUUUUUUUACGUUUUACAUCCUCUUUGCAUCCGUAAGUGCAGUGGGACCGGGCCUUAACAUGCUAAUACCUAGCGAGCAAUAAUAAAACAACCAUAAACAGA